rnacentral:rRNA from 1 species
GACAGAGGGGGCAAGCGUUGCUCGGAAUUACUGGGCGUAAAGGGCGCGUAGGCGGGAUGGUAAGUCGGUCGUGAAAUCCCUCGGCUCAACCGAGGAACGUCGAUCGAUACUACUGUUCUUGAGGGUUGCAGAGGAGACUGGAAUUCCCGGUGUAGCGGUGAAAUGUGUAGAGAUCGGGAGGAACACCGGUGGCGAAGGCGGGUCUCUGGGCAAUUCCUGACGCUGAGGCGCGAAAGCGUGGGGAGCAAACGGG